rnacentral:rRNA from 1 species
GACGAACGCUGGCGGCGUGCUUAACACAUGCAAGUCGAACGGUGAAGCGCUUUCCUUUUUGGUUGGUGUGGAUGAGUGGCGAACUGGUGAGUAACACGUGAGUAACCUGCCCCCUUCUUCUGGAUAACCGCAUGAAAGUGUGGCUAAUACGGGAUAUUCUGCGCCUGCUGCAUGGUGGGUGUGGGAAAGAUUGUGCCUUUGGGUGUUUUCGGUGGGGGAUGGGCUCGCGGCCUAUCAGCUUGUUGGUGGGGUGAUGGCCUACCAAGGCGGUGACGGGUAGCCGGCCUGAGAGGGUGGACGGUCACACUGGGACUGAGACACGGCCCAGACUCCUACGGGAGGCAGCAGUGGGGAAUAUUGCACAAGGGGCGCAAGCCUGAUGCAGCGACGCCGCGUGAGGGAUGGAGGCCUUCGGGUUGUGAACCUCUUUCGCCAGUGAAGCAGGCCUGCUCCUUGUGGGUGGGUUGACGGUAGCUGGAUAAGAAGCGCCGGCUAACUACGUG